GACGAACGCUGGCGGCGUGCUUAACACAUGCAAGUCGAGCGGAAAGGCCCUUCGGGGUACUCGAGCGGCGAACGGGUGAGUAACACGUGAGUAACCUGCCCCAGACUUUGGGAUAACCCUCGGAAACGGGGGCUAAUACCGGAUACGACACAGCUUCGCAUGGGGUCUGUGUGGAAAGUUUUUCGGUUUGGGAUGGGCUCGCGGCCUAUCAGCUUGUUGGUGGGGUGAUGGCCUGCCAAGGCGACGACGGGUAGCCGGCCUGAGAGGGCGACCGGCCACACUGGGACUGAGACACGGCCCAGACUCCUACGGGAGGCAGCAGUGGGGAAUAUUGCACAAUGGGCGGAAGCCUGAUGCAGCGACGCCGCGUGAGGGAUGACGGCCUUCGGGUUGUAAACCUCUUUCAGCAGGGACGAAGCGUAAGUGACGGUACCUGCAGAAGAAGCGCCGGCCAACUACGUG
rnacentral:rRNA from 1 species